UACGAAGGGUGCAAGCGUUACUCGGAAUUACUGGGCGUAAAGCGUGCGUAGGUGGUGAGUUAAGUCUGUUGUGAAAUCUCCCGGCUUAACUGGGAGGGUGCGGUGGAAACUGGGGUGCUUGAGUGUGGGAGAGGUAAGCGGAAUUCCUGGUGUAGCGGUGAAAUGCGCAGAUAUCAGGAGGAACACCGAUUGCGAAGGCAGCUCGCUGGGACGUCACUGACGCUGAGACGCGAAAGCGUGGGGAGCAAACAGG
rnacentral:rRNA from 1 species